rnacentral:rRNA from 1 species
UACAGAGGUCUCAAGCGUUGUUCGGAUUCAUUGGGCGUAAAGGGUGCGUAGGUGGCGCGGUAAGUCGGGUGUGAAAUCUCGGAGCUUAACUCCGAAAUUGCAUUCGAUACUGCCGUGCUCGAGGACUGGAGAGGAGACUGGAAUUCAUGGUGUAGCAGUGAAAUGCGUAGAGAUCAUGAGGAAGACCAGUGGCGAAGGCGGGUCUCUGGACAGUUCCUGACACUGAGGCACGAAGGUCAGGGGAGCAAACGGG